GGGGUUGUGGCUCAGUGGCAGAGUGCUGCCUGGCAAGUGUGAGGCCCUGGGUUCGAUCCUCAGCACCACA
rnacentral:tRNA from 1 species